rnacentral:lncRNA from 1 species
AUGUGGUGCGUGUCUGUAUCUUGCAUGUGUCUGUGUGGCCCCAGGUGCCCCUACGUGUGUAGUGGGUUUUAUGAACAAGGUUGUGUGGCGGGUGCCCCGUGUCCUACCAUUCCCUCGGCUGGGUUUGUGUCUGGAAGUCCCUCGCACACCCUUCCCUGUGUUUGUGGUCCGCGUGCCUUUGUGCGCGUCUGCUCCCCGUGCGCCUUUGAGGUCUGCGUGCAUCUGGGCUCCAGCGUGUGCCCGCUCGCGCCCCCGUGUCCCCGUGUCCCCUGCGCGGAGGCCGGGAGCUGCGUCCUGGAGUCCCGUGGGCAUCCCCGCUUGCAUCCUGGUGCGCCUGGCGGGAGGCCUCGGGGCACACACGGCCGCGGCUGGACCCACCGCCCGGCAGGAGCCGGGAGGUGGGAGGGGGCGGUGGCGGCGGGGAGCGCGGGCACGUCACCGAGACAGACAGGCGGGCGGGCGGGUGGGAGGCGGCGGCCGCGGGUUCGAGCCGGCGCCGGAGCCUCGCGGUCCCCUCCCCCUGCCCGCGGCCUGGGGAGCCCCCGCCCAGCCCCGGAGCCGCCAAAAUGCAAUUUCCCGUGCCGGCGCCUCGCGGCUCGGGGGGCUUUUCCGGGCGGGUUUUGGACAGAAGAGGGGGAAACAAGGCGGCGGCCCCAAAACGAGGUGAGCGCGGGCGCCGGGCGGGCCAGGGCGCGAGCGGGGCGGGGCCGCCCGCGGGAGGGGCGCGGCGGGGCGGGGCGGCAGCGGGACCCGCCGCAGCCCCCUCGCGCACCUGCUCGCGGCCGGGGGGCGGGCGCCCCGGCCUCUGCAGCCCGGCCCUCCAUUGUUGCGGCGGCUGGGGAAGGGGGGCGGGGAGGCCCUGGCGGCUUCUCUGUGUCUCGCUUUCCCCGAGAGGGGCCCUCGGAGGACCAGACCCCCACUCCAGAGGGGACAGACCCAGAAGUCCCAGGCCAGCUGGGGGCCGCCGGGGGGAGGGCGGGCCGAGAUGCCCCUGUGGGGAGGGGACGCAGGCUGAGGGUCGGAGGGGCAUGGGUGCCGGGCCUCCUGACACCUGACCGUAGGAGGCCCUGGAGCCGGGCGGCGGCCAGCUUUGUUCUUGGGGGAGCAGGGCGGAUGGGGGCCUCGGAUAUCCCGGACCGGGAGAGGCUCUGA